GUCGGGGACUGCAAGAGAAACAAAAGUGGAGGCUCAGUCGCGACAUUUCACCCUGCUAUCGGGAAAAUAUGCAUAGACUCGCACACCCCAUUCCAGAGAGCUUUGCGUAAUAAUGCGCAGGAGAAGAAGCAGAAGAGUGAUGCAAUUGCAUCCGAAAAGAUUGAGCACGCUUACAUUCACUCGUGACCAUAAAGGAAGCUUCCUGCUGCCCGAUGACAUUAUCGAUCAGGAUGUACUCAGCCUGGCAAGUGAUCCAAACAAUCCUCCUGAAAACUGCCUGAUGUUCUCCGUCAAUUAGAAGAAUAUGAUCCAGGGGCAAAUGUGGAGGGAUGUGGGGCGAUGGAGAAGAAUGACACCCUGCAAGUCGUCCUGCAGCCCCUUGUUUGUGUGCAGGGGU